rnacentral:rRNA from 1 species
UACGAAGGGGGGCUAGCGUUGUUCGGAAUUACUGGGCGUAAAGCGCGCGCAGGCGGUCCUUUAAGUCAGGGGUGAAAGCCCAGAGCUCAACUCUGGAACGGCCUUUGAAACUAGAGGACUUGGGUACGGGAGAGGUGUGUGGAACUCCGAGUGUAGAGGUGAAAUUCGUAGAUAUUCGGAAGAACACCAGUGGCGAAGGCGACACACUGGCCCGUAACUGACGCUGAGGCGCGAAAGCGUGGGGAGCAAACAGG